GUUCUAGAACAGAGAAAGUUAAUGCGAAGAUAUUAUUCGGUUCCACACUAAAACUGCGCUUUGACACGUGUGAUUUGAGAGCUUGAGGACUCAACUCUGAAGACUGUUUCACUGACCUGAAAUAAAACUUGUAGACCUUUCCUGCAGCCUCUGAGGAGAUGGACAGCUCUUCUUCUUCUGGACGAUCUCCGUCUCCUACUGGGACUGUCUUCUUACCCCCUCCUAUCAUGUGGAACAGUCUCUACCAGCAGGCAGAGAUGGAGGUUCACUUCCUGAGAGAAGAGAAGAAGACCUGUACAGAGAAGGAAGCCCACAUGCUUGAGUUGAGG